GCGGGGUUAGUACAAUGGUAGUAUACUUGCUUCCCAAGCAAGAGACGCGGGUUCGAUUCCCGUACUCCGCUCCA
rnacentral:tRNA from 1 species